AACGUAGGACGCAAGCGUUAUCCGGAGUUACUGGGCGUAAAGCGUGCGCAGGCGGUUCGUUAUGUCCGAUGUGAAAGCCCCGAGCUUAACUUGGGAAUGGCAUUGGAAACUGGCGGGCUGGAGUGCGGCAGAGGGGGGUGGAAUUCCACGUGUAGCAGUGAAAUGCGUAGAGAUGUGGAGGAACACCGAUGGCGAAGGCAGCCCCCUGGGCCGACACGUGACGCUCGAGGCACGAAAGCGUGGGGAGCAAACAGG
rnacentral:rRNA from 1 species